CUCCUUUGACGUUAGCGGCGGACGGGUGAGUAACACGUGGGUAACCUACCUAUAAGACUGGGAUAACUUCGGGAAACCGGAGCUAAUACCGGAUAAUAUUUCGAACCGCAUGGUUCGAUAGUGAAAGGUGGUUUUGCUAUCACUUAUAGAUGGACCCGCGCCGUAUUAGCUAGUUGGUAAGGUAACGGCUUACAAGGCGACGAUACGUAGCCGACCUGAGAGGGUGAUCGGCAACACUGGAACUGAGACACGGUCCAGACUCCUACGGGAGGCAGCAGCC
rnacentral:rRNA from 1 species